UACGGUAUCAAAAGCUAUGAUACUCUCUUUAUCUAUGGUCGCCUUAAGUAAGAGAGAGGAGCUAAUGGCGAAACCGAUUGAUAAUAUA
rnacentral:ncRNA from 2 species